CCCUUCGUCGUUCAAUGGAUAGGACAUUUCCUUGCGGAGGAAAAAAUGCAGGUUCGAUUCCUGCCGAGGGGACCA
rnacentral:tRNA from 1 species